rnacentral:lncRNA from 1 species
UGCCGUGGCUGAUGUUGAUUGUGUUUUUAUUCUGUCAUGCAGGCAUCUGGUUUUGGGAUGAGUAUAGGUCUGGGUGCUGAUUUCUGAGUUUGUCUUUGUUGGAUGGCUGUUUUGUUCCUUGGUUUCUAUUUCCUCUUUAGUCUUCUGGUCUUUGUGGACUGGAUUUCUGGUGCCUGACAUGACCUCUGAUCCAGUAAGGAGUCUCUGCCCAAGUUGGGGGCUGGAUUUCUGGUGCUAUAGAGAGUCUCUGUUUCUCUUACUGCACCUGAGCAUCAAAGUACUCUGGAGUAGGGGUAGAGGACUGGCAGCAGGGUGAGCAGUGAGGUGGGAAAGAGGGCAGUGGAUUCUGUUUUACUAUAAUUCAUAAAAAAUCAUUUACAUAUUUUAUAACUUAACUCAGGACAAAGAAUUUAUGUUGACACAUUAAUUAAUGUAUGUCAAAUCAUGUAUGUCAAAUCAUGUUUUAAACAUUAAUAUUAAAUUCAGAGCAUUGAUCAUCCAUAUCAAAUUUUUAAAAGGUAAAAUAUUUCAAAUGCAUAGUAAUAUUUGAGAUCAUAAUACAUUAGCUUGGUUUUCUUGCAAAAUAUAUCUUACUUAGUAUUUAACUUCACAUAAAAUAGUAAGCUACUCAUUAAACUCAGACCUAUAUUAGGGUUUUUUGUUUGUUUGUUUUUUUUUGUCUUGACAGCUUGUUGCAGAGUCCCCAACAUUGUCUAAUUCCAUAAUUAAACAUAAUUCCAGGAACAUGAUAAUGGCAAAUGCCAAAAUUAUCUGUUCCAAGUUUAUAUCAGAGGACAGACAUGAACUUUUCCUCUAACAUCCUCUAUUCAGGGUUAGCACACUGCAAACAAACACAGCACAGUCUUCACCUUGGAUCUGGAGAGCAUCAGUUAGCACAGAUCUGGCCUCCUGUCAGCAACUCUCAAUGGACUCGCCCUGCUGAGGUGUCUCGACUUGAACCACAGCUCCAGACUCCUGCUCUUCUUGUUCUCUGUCUCUUGCUGAGGAUGGUCAGCAGAUGCUCGUGGUCCAAACAGGGCUGA